GUUGAAACACUGGUCUCAUACGAUCACCAAAGUUAAGCAACAUCAUGCCUAGUCAGUACCUAGAUGGGUGACACUUUGGGAAUCCCAGGUGCCAU